rnacentral:rRNA from 1 species
GACGAACGCUGGCGGCGUGCUUAACACAUGCAAGUCGAAUGGUAAGGCCCUUCGGGUACACGAGUGGCGAACGGGUGAGUAACACGUGGGUGAUCUGCCCUGCACUUCGGGAUAAGCCUGGGAAACUGGGUCUAAUACCGGAUAGGACUCCUGGCUUCAUGGUUGGGGGUGUAAAGCUUUUGCGGUGUGGGAUGGGCCCGCGGCCUAUCAGCUUGUUGGUGGGGUAAUGGCCUACCAAGGCGACGACGGGUAGCCGGCCUGAGAGGGUGACCGGCCACACUGGGACUGAGAUACGGCCCAGACUCCUACGGGAGGCAGCAGUGGGGAAUAUUGCACAAUGGGCGCAAGCCUGAUGCAGCGACGCCGCGUGAGGGAUGACGGCCUUCGGUUGU